GCUGGGCUGUGGUGGCACAUGCC
rnacentral:piRNA from 1 species